rnacentral:lncRNA from 1 species
UGUAAAGAGUGAACAACAACCUGAAAAUAUACAAACAGAACUUCGAUGUUUCCAGUGAAGACCCUUCGUCGAGAAGUUAGUGAGCAACUUCAUGUAGUUGUACAUCCUUUACAACAUUAUAAUAUUCUUAAGACCAGUUUACACUGCGCUGAGUUAUCAAUAUUCAGAUAAAGGUGCCUAUACUCAGGAUAUUCAGAAGACGAAAAUCGCACUGGGAAUCGCAGCAAAAAUUACAAGUCUAAACAGACCAAUAAUCACUGAUAGUCAAAUUGGAA